rnacentral:rRNA from 1 species
UACGUAGGGUGCAAGCGUUGUCCGGAAUUAUUGGGCGUAAAGAGCUCGUAGGCGGUCUGUUGCGUCGGUUGUGAAAACCUGGGGCUCAACUCCAGGCCUGCAAUCGAUACGGGCAGACUAGAGUUCGGUAGGGGAGACUGGAAUUCCUGGUGUAGCGGUGAAAUGCGCAGAUAUCAGGAGGAACACCGAUGGCGAAGGCAGAUCUCUGGGCCGUAACUGACGCUGAGGAGCGAAAGCAUGGGGAGCGAACAGG